rnacentral:rRNA from 1 species
AGAGUUUGAUCCUGGCUCAGAACGAACGCUGGCGGCGUGCUUAACACAUGCAAGUCGCGUGCGCAGUUUCCGUAGCAAUACGGAGAUGGGCGCACGGCGCACGGGUGCGUAACACGUGGGCAAUCUGCCCUCUGAUGGGGAAUAACCCGCCGAAAGGCGGGCUAAUUCCGCAUAAGAUUCUCGGAACUUCGGUUCUGGGAUUGAAAGCAGUAAUGCGUCGGAGGAGGAGCCCGCGCCCGAUUAGCUAGUUGGUGAGGUAACGGCUCACCAAGGCAAUGAUCGGUAGCUGGUCUGAGAGGAUGAUCAGCCACACUGGAACUGAGACACGGUCCAGACUCCUACGGGAGGCAGCAGUGGGGAAUCUUGCACAAUGGGCGAAAGCCUGAUGCAGCGACGCCGCGUGGGGGAUGAAGCAUUUCGGUGUGUAAACCCCUUUCGACUGGGACGAAUGCCUCGCAAGAGGAGUGACGGUACCAGUAGAAGAAGCCCCGGCUAACUACGUGCCAGCAGCCGCGGUAAGACGUAGGGGGCCAGCGUUGUUCGGAAUUACUGGGUGUAAAGGGUUCGUAGGCGGUGCGGCAAGUUGGGAGUGAAAUCUCUGGGCUUAACCCAGAGGCUGCUUCCAAAACUGCUGUGCUCGAGUGUGAGAGAGGCUCGUGGAAUUGCAGGUGUAGCGGUGAAAUGCGUAGAUAUCUGCAGGAACACCCGUGGCGAAAGCGGCGAGCUGGAUCACUACUGACGCUGAGGAACGAAAGCUAGGGGAGCAAACAGGAUUAGAUACCCUAGUAGUCC